rnacentral:rRNA from 1 species
AGAACGAACGCUGGCGGCAUGCCUAACACAUGCAAGUCGAACGAGACCUUCGGGUCUAGUGGCGCACGGGUGCGUAACGCGUGGGAAUCUGCCCUUGGGUUCGGAAUAACAGUUGGAAACGACUGCUAAUACCGGAUGAUGUCUUCGGACCAAAGGUUUAUCGCCCAGGGAUGAGCCCGCGUAGGAUUAGCUUGUUGGUGAGGUAAAGGCUCACCAAGGCGACGAUCCUUAGCUGGUCUGAGAGGAUGAUCAGCCACACUGGGACUGAGACACGGCCCAGACUCCUACGGGAGGCAGCAGUGGGGAAUAUUGGACAAUGGGCAAAGCCUGAUCCAGCAAUGCCGCGUGAGUGAUGAAGGCCUUAGGUUGAAAGCUCUUUACCCGGGAUGAUAAUGACAGUACCGGAGAAUAAGCUCCGGCUAACUCCGUGCCAGCAGCCGC